AUCCAGCUGACGAGACCCAAAUAGAACGAAACGCGCGUCAAACUGAAU
rfam:Schistosoma mansoni strain Puerto Rico chromosome 1, complete genome